AACGAACGCUGGCGGCAUGCCUAACACAUGCAAGUCGAACGAGACCUUCGGGCCUAGUGGCGCACGGGUGCGUAACGCGUGGGAACCUGCCCUUAGGUUCGGAAUAACUCCCCGAAAGGGGUGCUAAUACCGGAUAAUGUCUUCGGACCAAAGGUUUAUCGCCUUUGGAUGGGCCCGCGUUGGAUUAGCUAGUUGGUAGGGUAAAAGCCUACCAAGGCGACGAUCCAUAGCUGGUAUGAGAGGAUGAUCAGCCACACUGGGACUGAGACACGGCCCAGACUCCUACGGGAGGGAGCAGUGGGGAAUAUAGGACAAUGGGCGAAAGCCUGAUCCAGCAAUGCCGGGUGAGUGAUGAAGGCCUUAGGGUUGUAAAGCUAUUUUACCCGGGAUGAUAAUGACAGUACCGGGAGAAUAAGCUCCGGCUAACUCCGUG
rnacentral:rRNA from 1 species